UCGGGACUGAGACACUGCCCGGACACCUACGGGUGGCUGCAGUAACGAAUAUUGGGCAAUGGGCGCAAGCCUGACCCAGCAAUGCCGCGUGCAGGAGGAAGCCCUUCGGGGUGUAAACUGCUGUCAGGGGCUAGCAAACAAUGGGCGUUAAUAGCGUCCGGCGUUGAGCCGCCCCAAAGGAAGCCUCGACUAACUCUGUGCCAGCAGUCGCGGUAAGACAGAGGAGGCAAGCGUUGUUCGGAAUCAUUGGGCUUAAAGCGGGUGUAGGCGGCUAGGCAAGUGUCGUGUGAAAUCCAACGGCUCAACCGUUGAACUGCACGGCAAACUGCCUGGCUUGAGGUCGGUAGAGGUGCCUGGAACUCUUGGUGGAGCGGUGAAAUGCGUAGAUAUCAAGAGGAACGCCAGAGGCGAAAGCGGGGCACUGGGCCGAUUCUGACGCUGAGAUCCGAAAGCGUGGGGAGCAAACAGGAUUAGAUACCCUGGUAGUCCACGCCGUAAACGAUGCACACUAGACGUCGGAGGUUCUGACACCGUCGGCGUCGCAGCAAAAGUACUAAGUGUGCCGCCUGGGGAGUACGGCCGCAAGGCUAAAACUCAAAGGAAUUGACGGGGGCUCACACAAGCGGUGGAGCAUGUGGCUUAAUUCGAAGCAACGCGAAGAACCUUACCCGGGUUUGACAUGCUUGGAUGCCUCCUGGGGAUAACUCAGGUCGGCUGCCCUUCGGGGUGAAACUUGCACAGGUGUUGCAUGGCUGUCGUCAGCUCGUGCUGUGAAGUGUCGGGUUAAGUCCCUUAACGAGCGAAACCCCUAUCGCUAGUUGCCAGCGGGUCAUGCCGGGGACUCUAGCGAGACUGCCGGCGUUAAGCCGGAGGAAGGUGGGGACGACGUCAAGUCAUCAUGGCCUUUAUGCCCGGGGAUGCACACGUGCUACAAUGGCGCGUACAGAGCGAGGCAAGACCGCGAGGUGGAGCAAAUCGCAAAAAACGCGCCCCAGUUCGGAUUGGAGUCUGCAAUUCGACUCCAUGAAGUUGGAAUCGCUAGUAAUCGCGUAUCAGCCACGACGCGGUGAAUGUGUUCCUGAGCAUUGUACACACCGCCCGUCAAGUCAUGGAAGCUGGUAGUACCCGAAGUCCGCUUAGCUAACAUUCCCGGAGGCG
rnacentral:rRNA from 1 species